rnacentral:lncRNA from 1 species
CGGUAAUUGAUAUAACUUACGAAAAGAGACAUACUUGCGUGAAAAUAAACGGAAACUAACGCUGAAGGUAUAAAAUGUGAGCAGUGAGUUUAAAGAAAAUUACGUGUCUUAAAACUUGUAUAUGCAAGUAAAAAAGAAAAUACUAUUCACCAUUCGUUAUGCUUAAUAAGUCUACGGCAUUUUCUCUUCACGAUUAGCAUUACUUUAGGAUAUAAUACAUUUCGGCUACAACAGGAAUACUUCUAUAGCUGCAUCAACUCGUCGUUGCAUAAUAUUCAUUUACGCACAAUGAAUGUAAACUUUUGUGUUGUAUUUAGAACAGUGAUCUUUAAAUAUUUUUAAAACAAUUAAUUGCCGUGGGAAGACGACACGCAUCUCAGUGAUCAACAGUGCGUGGUUGAACUUGAAACUUGACUUCGCUCACAAUAUUGAAUGCUAAAAAUAGUGACAUCAAUUUUGUCCACGAGAUUUUUAUUUGGCGGGAAAUAGUAUCAUGUAACAGUAAACUCAGGUGACCUUUCUGGAUAACCGUGGGAAAAUUCAUUGAAGGUUUAAACUUGCUUUGUAAUGAUUGACAUUUGUGUACGUUAAGAUUGAGGCUCUAGAAGGUCCUUUUACAAUUGAUUAACCGGAUUCUAAAUUUUAUUCCUUUUCUGAAUAAACGAAC